UAGCAACGGCCUUUAAACGUGUGGGC
rnacentral:piRNA from 1 species